rnacentral:rRNA from 1 species
GACGAACGCUGGCGGCGUGCUUAACACAUGCAAGUCGAACGGAAAGGCCCUGCUUUUGUGGGUUGCUCGAGUGGCGAACGGGUGAGUAACACGUGAGUAACCUGCCCUUGACUUUGGGAUAACUUCAGGAAACUGGGGCUAAUAACGGAUAGGAUCUCCGGCUGCAUUGUGCUGGUUGGAAAGGUUCGGCGGUUGUGGAUGGACUCGCGGCGUAUCAUCUUGUUGUUGGUGUCGUGGCUUACCAAGGCUUUGACGGGUAGCCGGCCUGAGAGGGUGACCGGCAAAAUUGGGACUGAGCUACGUCCCAGAGUAGUACGGAAGGUAGGAGUGGGGAAUAUUGCCUAAUGGGCGGAAGCCUGAUGAAGCAACGCCGCGUGCGGGAUGAAGGCCUUCGGGUUGUAAAACGAUUUCGCCUGUGACGAAGCGUGAGUGACGUUAAUGGGUAAAGAAGCACCGGCUAACUACGUG